UCACUCUGAUUGGCUUGUGGG
rnacentral:miRNA from 1 species